rnacentral:rRNA from 1 species
UACGUAGGUGGCAAGCGUUGUCCGGAGUUAUUGGGCGUAAAGCGCGCGCAGGCGGUGCGGUAAGUCUCUGGUGAAAGCGCUCGGCUUAACUGGGCGAGGGCCGGGGAGACUGCCACGCUGGAGGGGAGCAGAGGCGAGUGGAAUUCCGGGUGUAGUGGUGAAAUGCGUAGAGAUCCGGAGGAACACCAGUGGCGAAGGCGGCUCGCUGGGCUCUACCUGACGCUGAGGCGCGAAGGCGUGGGGAGCGAACCGG